AUUGAACGCUGGCGGCAUGCCUAACACAUGCAAGUCGAACGAGGGUAGCGAUACCCUAGUGGCGGACGGGUGAGGAAUGCGUAGGAAUUUGCCCACGAGUGGGGGACAACCUGGGGAAACCCAGGCUAAUACCGCAUACGCUCGAAAGAGGAAAGCGGGGGACCUUCGGGCCUCGCGCUAGUGGAGGAGCCUACGUCCGAUUAGCUAGUUGGUGGGGUAAAGGCUCACCAAGGCGACGAUCGGUAGCGGGUCUGAGAGGACGGCCCGCCACACUGGGACUGAGACACGGCCCAGACUCCUACGGGAGGCAGCAGUGGGGAAUAUUGGACAAUGGGCGCAAGCCUGAUCCAGCAAUGCCGCGUGGGUGAAGACGGCCUGCGGGUUGUAAAGCCCUUUAGGCGGGGAGGAACGGCGGGGUGCCAAGACCACCUCGCGCUGACGUUACCCGUGGAAUAAGCACCGGCUAACUCCGUG
rnacentral:rRNA from 1 species